rnacentral:rRNA from 1 species
AUUGAACGCUGGCGGCAUGCUUUACACAUGCAAGUCGAACGGUAACAGGCCGCAAGGUGCUGACGAGUGGCGAACGGGUGAGUAAUGCAUCGGAACGUGCCCAGUCGUGGGGGAUAACGCAGCGAAAGCUGUGCUAAUACCGCAUACGAUCUACGGAUGAAAGCGGGGGACUCAGCAAUGAGCCUCGCGCGAUUGGAGCGGCCGAUGUCAGAUUAGGUAGUUGGUGGGAUAAAAGCUCACCAAGCCAACGAUCUGUAGCUGGUCUGAGAGGACGACCAGCCACACUGGGACUGAGACACGGCCCAGACUCCUACGGGAGGCAGCAGUGGGGAAUUUUGGACAAUGGGCGCAAGCCUGAUCCAGCAAUGCCGCGUGCAGGAAGAAGGCCUUCGGGUUGUAAACUGCUUUUGUACGGAACGAAACGGUCUGGGUUAAUACCCUGGGCUAAUGACGGUACCGUAAGAAUAAGCACCGGCUAACUACGUG